AACUACAAAAACAUUGCGAUAAAAAAGACGCGAUAGGAGCUUACAUCAUACCUUGUUCUCCGAAAACUACAAGACCGUUGAUAUCGUUGAAUGAAAUCUUGGCAGCAAAAAAUAUGGUCAAACUGAGAUUUAGCGAAAGACAUGGAGGGGUUGAGGAACAGCUUCUUCUGAAUCCAGGAGCCUAUGUAAUCAUUCCCUGUUCGUUCUACCCAAAU